rnacentral:lncRNA from 1 species
UAAAUUACAUAUUUAAUAUUUAAAAUUAAAAAUCACAUUUUAAAUUCAAAUUUAAAUAUCAAAAUCAAAAUAAAAAAUUUAAGUUUGAAAUCAAAAGUUAGAUUCAAUUUAAAAUUCAAUUUUAAAAUUUAGAUUUCAAUUCAAAUUCAAACUUUAAAUUCAAAUUCAAAAUUCUAAUUUCUAGUUAGUUUAAAUUUUAAAUUUAACUAUUAAUUACAAGUAGAAAUUCAAAAAUUUGAAUUUUUAUUUUUGGAGAAUAAAGUGAAAAAAGUGCAAAGUUUAGGGAUCAAAAAUGACUUGCAAAAAAAAUGCCAAGUAGGCCAUAGUUAGUUAAUUCGGAUUCGGUAAAAAUUCGGUACGGCUAUAAUUCGGAUAAAAUUUGUUUUUUAAUUUUUAAAUUCGUUGAAAAAUACGGCUAAAAAACGGGUUCAGUAAUUAUUCGGAUACGUGAUUUAUACGGAUAUUAUACGUUAACCAAUUAAAAAUUUGGAAUCAAAAAUUCGGCUAUAUAAUAAAUAAAAUUUAUAUAUUUAAAAAUAAUAAUAAAUAAUUACAAAUUUAUAAAUAAAAUAUUAUAUAAAUAUUUCUAUAUAAAAAUAAAAUAAAAUAUAUAAUA